ANNCUGCGGCUGCUUACCAUGCAGUCGAACGGUGAACACGGAGCUUGCUCUGUGGGAUCAGUGGCGAACGGGUGAGUAACACGUGAGCAACCUGCCCCUGACUCUGGGAUAAGCGCUGGAAACGGCGUCUAAUACUGGAUAUGUGACGUGACCGCAUGGUCUGCGUUUGGAAAGAUUUUUCGGUUGGGGAUGGGCUCGCGGCCUAUCAGCUUGUUGGUGAGGUAAUGGCUCACCAAGGCGUCGACGGGUAGCCGGCCUGAGAGGGUGACCGGCCACACUGGGACUGAGACACGGCCCAGACUCCUACGGGAGGCAGCAGUGGGGAAUAUUGCACAAUGGGCGAAAGCCUGAUGCAGCAACGCCGCGUGAGGGAUGACGGCCUUCGGGUUGUAAACCUCUUUUAGCAGGGAAGAAGCGAAAGUGACGGUACCUGCAGAAAAAGCGCCGGCUAACUACGUGCCAGCAGCCGCGGUAAUACGUAGGGCGCAAGCGUUAUCCGGAAUUAUUGGGCGUAAAGAGCUCGUAGGCGGUUUGUCGCGUCUGCUGUGAAAUCCCGAGGCUCAACCUCGGGCCUGCAGUGGGUACGGGCAGACUAGAGUGCGGUAGGGGAGAUUGGAAUUCCUGGUGUAGCGGUGGAAUGCGCAGAUAUCAGGAGGAACACCGAUGGCGAAGGCAGAUCUCUGGGCCGUAACUGACGCUGAGGAGCGAAAGGGUGGGGAGCAAACAGGCUUAGAUACCCUGGUAGUCCACCCCGUAAACGUUGGGAACUAGUUGUGGGGUCCAUUCCACGGAUUCCGUGACGCAGCUAACGCAUUAAGUUCCCCGCCUGGGGAGUACGGCCGCAAGGCUAAAACUCAAAGGAAUUGACGGGGACCCGCACAAGCGGCGGAGCAUGCGGAUUAAUUCGAUGCAACGCGAAGAACCUUACCAAGGCUUGACAUAUACGAGAACGGGCCAGAAAUGGUCAACUCUUUGGACACUCGUAAACAGGUGGUGCAUGGUGUCGUCAGCUCGUGUCGUGAGAUGUUGGGUUAAGUCCCGCAACGAGCGCAACCCUCGUUCUAUGUUGCCAGCACGUAUGUGGGACUCAUGGGAUACUGCGGGUCACUCGAGAAAGGUGGGGAUGACGUCAAUCAUCAUGCCCUUAUUGUCUGGGCUNNCGCAUGCCUACCAUGNCGNUACAACGNUGCANACCGGUGAAGUGANGGAAUUCAAAAGCCGNNCAGUCGAAUGAGNNUGCACUCCGAAC
rnacentral:rRNA from 1 species